rnacentral:lncRNA from 1 species
UGGUGUCCCUCAGGGGGCGACCUGGAGCCGCUGUCACUCACACACACAGACCAGGCUUGUUGCCCCCGAGGACGGCAGUGUAACAGCUGUAGCAGAAGUUUGUCAGGACCUGCAGCCUCUUCCACAGCAGAUCAUCUCUCCACCACCUCCAUCACCUCCAUCUCUCCAUCACCUCCACCACUCCACCACCUCCACCCUCCAUCCCUCCAUCACGUCCAUCACCUCAACCCUCCACCCCUCCAUCACCUCCAUCCCUCCACCCUCCAUCUCUCCAUAACCUCCACCCCUCCACCACCUCCACCCUCCAUCCCUCCAUCACCCCCAUCACCGCCACCGUCCACCCUUCCAUCACCUCCAUCCCUCCACCCUCCAUCCCUGCAUCACGUCCAUCACCUCCACCCUCCAUUCCUCCAUCACGUCCAUCACCUCCACCCUCCAGCCCUCCAUCACCUCCAUCCCUCCACCCUCCAUCCCUCCACCCUCCACCCCUCCAUCACCUCCACCCCUCCACCCUCCAUCACCUCCAUCCCUCCACCCUCCACCCCUCCAUCACCUCCAUCCCUCCACCCCUCCAUCACCUCCAUCCCUCCACCCUCCAUCUCUCCAUCACCUCCACCCCUCCACCCUCCAUCUCUCCACCACCUCCACCCUCCAUCCCUCCACUCUCCACCCCUCCAUCACCUCCAUCCCUCCACCCUUCAUCUCUCCACCCUCCAUCUCUCAUCACCUCCAUCUCUCCAUAACCUCCACCCUCCACCCCUCCAUCACCUCCAUCCCUUCACCCUCCAUAUCUCCAUCACCUCAUCACCUCCAUCACCUCCACCCCUCCAUCCCUCCACCCCUCUACCCUCCAUCCCUCCAUCCAUCACCGCUCCACCCCUCCAUCCAUCCACCCCUCCAUCACCUCCACCCCUCUACCCUCCACCCCUCCACCCUCCAUCCAUCCACCCCUCCACCCUUCACCCAUCCAUCCCUACACCCCUCCACCCUCCAUCCAUCCACCCCUCCACACCCCACAACCCCAUCCAUCCACCCCUCCACCCUUCACCCAUCCAUCCCUACACCCCUCCACCCUCCAUCCAUCCACCCCUCCACACCCCACAACCCCAUCCAUCCACCCCUCCACCCCUCCAUCCAUCCACCCCUCCACCCUCUACCCCUCCAUCCAUCCACCCCUCCACCCCCAUCCAUCCACCCCUCCACCCUCCACCCCUCCAUCACCUCCAUCAUCUCCAUCCAUCCAUCCAUCCAUCCCCCCACCCUCGACCCCUCCACCCCUCCACCCUCCAUCCCUCCCUCCAUCCAUCCACCCCUCUAUCCAUCCACCCCUCCAUCCAUCACCCCUCCACCCCUCCAUCACCUCCACCCCUCCAUCCAUCCACCCCUCCACCUCUUCAACCCUCCAUCACCUCCACCCCUCCAUCUAUCCACCCCUCCACCUCUUCAACCCUCCAUCCAUCCACCCCUCCACCCUCCAUCCAUCAUCCAUCCAUCCCGCCACCCUCCACCCCUCCAUCCCUCCACCCAUCCAUCCCUCCAUCCAUCCAUCCACUCCUCCAUCCAUCCAUCCCUCCAUCCAUCACCCCUCCACCCCUCCAUCCAUCCACCCCUCCACCCCUCCAUCACCUCCACCUCUCCAUCCAUCCACCCCUCCACCUCUUCAACCCUCCAUCCAUCCACCCCUCCACCCCUUCAACCCUCCACCCCUCUCUGGACGCUGCUUCAUCACCUGAACCGUUGGUCCCUCCUGCAGCCACGCACAAAUACUGCCCCCCGCGGCCACCCUCGGUACUACCCCAGCAGAUUUCCUUUCUCUUCCACCUCCACCCUCUUCUUCAACCCUCUCCUCUCUUUCUCCUCCUUCUCUUUGUCUCUUUUGCUGUUUUGUGUCUUAGAGAGGAGGAAGAUGAUGACAUCGCCCAUCAGUUCUGUUGCCCUGCCUCUGAGUGCAGUAGCCCCUCCUCUAGGUAA